UUAUCAUUAAUUGGCAGUAAAAAUUUAGUUGAUACAAUUAAAAAUAUUUUGCUCUUAAUGCAGAAUGAAUGGUCUAAAGAAGAAAAAAAAGUUUAAAAAGUUGACAAGUCAAUGUAUCGCUAUCACUGAUGCUGCUUCAAAUUCAAAUGAAAGCUUUACCAAAAUGGAUCUCAUGCAACUUCCCAGUGGGCAUUUCGACGUCGAACGAACGUCGAACGACGUCGGAUCUUGACGUCGGAUCAAGGUUGGGUUUACGUUGGAAAUGGAAAUGUUAUUUGACGUCGGAUAAACUGACAUCGCGCGACGUCGGCAUUCCGAUGUAAAUCCAACGUGUUUUUUGAAAACUAAAAAACGUUGCCUUUGGCAGGAAUCGAACCUCGGUCUAUUAGAAACUAUAUCCUACGCGCUUACCACUACACCUCAGGGACAUAUUGUUUAAUGUGUUUAUUUAGUAAUUUAUACUUGUAGCUA